UACGUAGGGGGCUAGCGUUGUUCGGAAUCAUUGGGCGUAAAGCGCGCGUAGGCGGCCCGGUAAGUCCGCUGUAAAAGUCAAAGGCUCAACCUUUGAAUGUCAGUGGAUACUGCCGGGCUAGAGUCCGGAAGAGGCGGAGUGGACUCGUGGUGUAGCGGUGGAAUGCGCAGAUAUCAGGAAGAACACCGACGGCGAAGGCAGCUCGCUGGGACGGUACUGACGCUGAGGCGCGAAAGCGUGGGGAGCGAACAGG
rnacentral:rRNA from 1 species